rnacentral:rRNA from 1 species
UACGUAGGGUGCAAGCGUUGUCCGGAAUUAUUGGGCGUAAAGAGCUCGUAGGCGGUCUGUCGCGUCGGCUGUGAAAACCCGGAGUUCAACUCCGGGCCUGCAGUCGAUACGGGCAGACUGGAGUACUGCAGGGGAGACUGGAAUUCCUGGUGUAGCGGUGAAAUGCGCAGAUAUCAGGAGGAACACCGGUGGCGAAGGCGGGUCUCUGGGCAGUUACUGACGCUGAGGAGCGAAAGCGUGGGGAGCGAACAGG